rnacentral:rRNA from 1 species
CUACACAUGCAGUCGACGGCAGCACAGUAAGAGCUUGCUCUUAUGGGUGGCGAGUGGCGGACGGGUGAGGAAUACAUCGGAAUCUACCUUUUCGUGGGGGAUAACGUAGGGAAACUUACGCUAAUACCGCAUACGACCUUCGGGUGAAAGCAGGGGACCUUCGGGCCUUGCGCGGAUAGAUGAGCCGAUGUCGGAUUAGCUAGUUGGCGGGGUAAAGGCCCACCAAGGCGACGAUCCGUAGCUGGUCUGAGAGGAUGAUCAGCCACACUGGAACUGAGACACGGUCCAGACUCCUACGGGAGGCAGCAGUGGGGAAUAUUGGACAAUGGGCGCAAGCCUGAUCCAGCCAUACCGCGUGGGUGAAGAAGGCCUUCGGGUUGUAAAGCCCUUUUGUUGGGAAAGAAAAGCAGUCGGCUAAUACCCGGUUGUUCUGACGGUACCCAAAGAAUAAGCACCGGCUAACUUCGUGCCAGCAGCCGCGAUAAUACGAAGGGUGCAAGCGUUACUCGGAUUACUGGGCGUAACGCGUGCGUAGGUGGUUGUUUAAGUCUGUUGUGA